GUAAGAAUAAUUAUUUUUUCUGUUUGUAGCCUUCUGACUGAUGCUGUGUGUGAAGUUGUGGCUGUAGUGCAGCAGCUGUGCUUUGGGUAGAUUCUCACACCAGAGAGACAGUCUGAGGAGAAYCUCACACCUGGACACAUUUAUAUCURUUUUACAKRUUUAAAUGGAGGCGUGUCAGGGGAGGAGUCUCAGCUCCACCUUCAUUAGGAUGUAUAAAGGAAAGGUGCGGGUGAACUUUCCAAGGCGUGGCCCUCUUCCACAGGGUGGGACUGGAGGGGAAAGGACAGCGGAUGUGGUCUCUGAACAAYGCUAACCGGGGCUAGCGGCUAACAUUAGCCUGACAAGUUAUCAUCAGCUGACAGAGCCCGAGCGGCAUCAAAGCGGACUCGGUCACCUGCGCGAAGCCGGUUCAAAGUGUAAACAGUGACACCGGGAAUACGUCACCACCGA